UACGUAGGGUGCGAGCGUUAAUCGGAAUUACUGGGCGUAAAGCGUGCGCAGGCGGUUUUGUAAGCCAGAUGUGAAAUCCCCGGGCUUAACCUGGGAAUGGCAUUUGGGACUGCAAGGCUUGAGUGCGGCAGAGGAGACUGGAAUUCCUGGUGUAGCGGUGAAAUGCGUAGAUAUCAGGAGGAAUACCGAUGGCGAAGGCAGGUCUCUGGGCUGACACUGACGCUCAUGCACGAAAGCGUGGGGAGCAAACAGG
rnacentral:rRNA from 1 species